UACGUAGGUGGCGAGCGUUGUCCGGAUUUACUGGGCGUAAAGAGCGCGCAGGCGGUCGUUCAAGUCGGAUGUGAAAGCCCCCGGCUCAACUGGGGAGGGGCAUUCGAUACUGAUCGACUCGAAGGCAGGAGAGGGAAGCGGAAUUCCCGGUGUAGUGGUGAAAUGCGUAGAUAUCGGGAGGAACACCAGUGGCGAAGGCGGCUUCCUGGCCUGUGCUUGACGCUGAGGCGCGAAAGCUAGGGGAGCAAACGGG
rnacentral:rRNA from 1 species